AUGAGCAGCAAAGUAUAAAUUCGCCAGAUUCACGGAUCGAUGAUCGCAAAGUUUACUCGAAAGCUAAAACAUGAAGUUCGUGUCUAUUGCUCUCCUGCUCGUAGUGUUGGUGUUCGCUCUGGUUGCUGCACAAGAUGGCGUCCCAAUACCCUUAAGCAGCGAGGUCAAAUUUAACAUCGUCAAGAGGAGCAUUCCACUAGGCCAGCUGAUAACGGAAAACCAUGCAGCAUUUGUGUCGCAACAACAAAUCGGCGAAAGCGACUCGGAUUCAUCAGAGUAAUGGUUCAUGCAACGAGCCAUAAUGUAUAUUGUACAACCGAAAACUUGGAAAAUCACUUGAUGCAGUGUGGAAUAUUCCAAUGAUUAAUAAAUAAUUGAGGUACAUUGGCUUAAACGUGA